rnacentral:rRNA from 1 species
UACGUAGGGUGCGAGCGUUGUCCGGAAUUAUUGGGCGUAAAGAGCUCGUAGGCGGCUUGUCGCGUCGGAUGUGAAAGCCCGAGGCUUAACCUCGGGUCUGCAUUCGAUACGGGCAGGCUAGAGUGUGGUAGGGGAGAUCGGAAUUCCUGGUGUAGCGGUGAAAUGCGCAGAUAUCAGGAGGAACACCGGUGGCGAAGGCGGAUCUCUGGGCCAUUACUGACACUGAGGAGCGAAAGCGUGGGGAGCGAACAGG